rnacentral:rRNA from 1 species
AUUGAACGCUGGCGGCAGGCCUAACACAUGCAAGUCGAGCGGAGCGGCGGACGGGUGAGUAAUGCCUAGGAAUCUGCCUGGUCGUGGGGGAUAACGUCCGGAAACGGGCGCUAAUACCGCAUACUAUUUGCUGCGCCUAGGUGGGAUUAGCUAGUUGGUGGGGUAAUGGCCUACAAAGGCGACGACCCGUAACUGGUCUGAGAGGAUGAUCAGUCACCCUGGAACGGGAACACGGCCCAGACUCCUACGGGAGGCGGCAGUGGGGAAUAUUGGACAAUGGGCGAAAGCCGAAUCCAGCCAGGCCGCGUGUGGGAAGAAGGUCUUCGGAUGGUAAAGCACUUUAAGUGGGGAGGCGUUAACAACAGAAUAAGCACCGGCUAACUUCGUGCCAGCAGCCGCGGUAAUUC